rnacentral:Y_RNA from 1 species
GACCGGUCAGAAGGUAGUGAGUUAUCUCAAUUGAUUGUUCACAGUCAGUACAGAUUGAACUUGUUCUAUUCUUUCCCCCCUUCUCACUACUUCAUUGACUAGUCUUUA